GUUGCUCCUGUAUAUUUGAUAAUAAGUCUUCUAGGUACAAAACUUCAGAUUUUGUGCCAAUGUCUUUCUUAUGGCACAUGCUGCACCCUUCUUGAAGAGCUGCUCAGCAAAUGAUGGGAGAACUAUAUCGCCUAUGAUUGAUGGACUUUUCUAAGGGCACUUGCGUUCUUUUUCUAGCAACUCCUUGCUUGAUAAAUAUCCACUUGAUUUUAGCAAUAUACUUUCUUCUUAAGCACUCCCUAAGCUUUUCACUUCUCUGGCCUAACUCAUCUAAUAUCCUAGGUGCUAAUUGCAUCCAGAGAAAAUUUUCCAUUAUACAGUUAACAUUAUUGCAAGCUUUAUAAAACUUCCUUCUAGCAUUAGUCACUGCAGCUUUUAAACC
rnacentral:lncRNA from 1 species